CAAUAGCGUAUAUUAAAGUUGUUGCAGUUAAAAAGCUCGUAGUUGGAUUUCUGGUGGGAGCGAUCGGUCUGGCGCUUAGCGCGAGUACUUGCAUCGUCUCCGGCCAUCCUUGGGGAGGGUCUGUCUGGCAUUAGGUUGUCGGGCAGAGGAUCCUCAUCGUUUACUGUGAAAAAAUUAGAGUGUUCAAAGCAGGCUUAUGCCGUUGAAUAUAUUAGCAUGGAAUAAUAAGAUAGGACUUUGGUACCAUUUUGUUGGUUUGCGCACCAAAGUAAUGAUUAAUAGGGACAGUUGGGGGUAUUCGUAUUCCGUUGUCAGAGGUGAAAUUCUUGGAUUUACGGAAGACGAACUACUGCGAAAGCAUUUACCAAGGAUGUUUUCAUUAA
rnacentral:rRNA from 1 species